UGGGACCAUCUAGUCGCAGGAAAACAAGCUUAACAUGCCCACUGAUUCUACAUUAUGGUCUUGCCUCUCAACAGCCUCUGAAACCUCUCCAGGCCCCGAACUUUCUCUAAUCGGCCUCUACAGACCAAGCUCAUGACUCACAAUGGUCUAUUUAGGCCCAUACCCUACCUCACGGCAGUCUCCGCGGAUGAGGCUACUGCCUCACAACAGCCUCCACUGGCCCAGCUCCAUCAUUACAACGGCCUCUUUAGACCCAGCUCCUGCCUCCCAGUCUUCUCUCCAGGCCCAGAACUUUCUCAAGUUGACCUCACCAGACCCAGCUCCUGCCUCUCAUUACAGCCUCUGAAGGCCCCGCUCCUGCCUUUUGUUGGUCUCUCCAGGCCCAGCUGCUGCCCCCAG